rnacentral:lncRNA from 1 species
UUGAUGUGUUUUCUAGUGAUUUAAAGAGUGUCUUGUGUCUCCAGCAGGGUGCCGUCUCCUCCCGCUCCUGCAGUAAAGUCCUCUCAGCAGGUGACGGAGGACACGGGCCGCCCGCCGUCGUUAGACUAUGUGCCGUAUGUGCGCACAGACGAGGUGUAUCACAUGGACCCCCUCGCUCCGCUGUCCAGACCCCCGACACAUGAAGCCCAGCAGAGGGUCCACACAGUUGUGAGCAGCAGCAGCAGGCAGGCGCCGCCUCGGGUCCAGCAUCCUCCUAAAAGCACUGAACGGCAGCAGGCCAUCCUGAAAGGUCUGUCCGAGCUGAGACAGGGUCUGCUGCAGAGACAGCGAGAGCUAGAAACCAGUCUGAACCCUGCAGUGCAAACACAACACAGAAACCACUUCUCACCUUUCAGACCGGUGUGAUCCAGAGCUGCUUCCGAAAACAAGACCAGCACUUUAUACUGCGAGAUGUGAACAGUGGAGAUGUUGCUGUCUGACAUAUGAAUCCGUUACACGCUCUUAUUAAGGACUAGGUUUGUAAAGGGGUGGUAAACUUCCGGCAAAUUUCCAAAAAAAUCCUGGAAAGUUUCCAAAAUUUCUGGAAUUUUUCCUACAUUUUCCACCUUUUUGCAACCCUAUUAAGGACUCAUUGUAGAUGUGUAACGCAUCAGGCACGUUUCUGGGGUUGAUUUUGAACCGCAGAUCUUGAAUGUGACUGGCUUUUAUGACGACUGUGAACUUUACAGUUUUCCCUACAUGUGAAUUAAACGUAUUUAAACUAAACUUGAAGCUGCGUCUACUAUUGACCA